rnacentral:rRNA from 1 species
UUGGAAGGAAAAUUCGUAACAAGGUUUCCCGUAGGGGGCCCUGCGGAAGGAUCAUUGUCGAAACCUGCAAAGCAGAAAGACCAGCGGACCCAUUACAACACCCAGGGGUGACCCCAACCCCUGACGCUGAGUGUGUGCAGCCCUGCCUUGCGCCCUCAGCAUAAAACGAACCCAGGCGCGGAACGCGUCAAGGAAUCAUAACGAAACGAGCUCCUGCCGUGGCCCCGGGGACGGUGAUCGCCGCAGCAGCUGUGUUGUGCUUGGUUAAGUCUAAAAUGACUCUCGGCAACGGAUAUCUCGGCUCUCGCAUCGAUGAAGAACGUAGCGAAAUGCGAUACUUGGUGUGAAUUGCAGAAUCCCGUGAACCAUCGAGUCUUUGAACGCAAGUUGCGCCUGAAGCCAUCAGGCUGAGGGCACGUCUGCCUGGGCGUCAAACACCGAUGCCCCCCCAAAUCCCCUCGUCACUCUCCCCUGAGUGCCCGGGGAGUGUGGGGGUCGGAUGAUGGCCUCCCGUGUCUUGGCUCGCGGUUGGCCCAAAGUCGAGUCCUCGGUCACGGUUACCGUGGUGACAGGUGGUUGUCGGUCGCUCGGUACCCCGUCACGUGCGCCGGACACGAAUCGAGACUCUCUUGAUUACCCCAACGCAUCCCCGUUUUGGUGCCUCUGAUGUGACCCCAGGUCAGGCGGGGCUACCCGCUGAGUUUAAGCAUAUCAAUAGCCGGAGGAAA